rnacentral:lncRNA from 1 species
CCCAGGUUUAAUUUCCAGCAGCUACACAGGUUGUCACUGAUCAGAAAACUGAAAAAGAGCACUUCUCUGCACUCUUAAGGUUUAUGGAGAGAUUACAGGAAGGUAAUGUGAAAAGAAGGGAAGAGAGGCCGGAGAAAAACUGUCUGAUCAAAACCAAGGAUCCACGCUGCUGCCAGGGACUAGAUGAUGCCUAGGAUCUGAGCUGCCAACUGAAACCAGGAAGUCCACGAUCCAUGCAACCUCCGGAAACCACACAGAAGUUCAUGAUCUGUGCUGCCAUUGGCUCCUAUGGGCAAGGAAACUUUGUUUGUAGUGGUAUAGAUGACUACCGACUCGUAACUGAGGACGGGAGACGUGGGGUCGUCAAUGACACUCCCAACCCCUGCAAAAACAAAAGACAGACAGACAGACAAACAAACAAGCAAACAGUGGAGACAGAAAGCUAUUGAAGCGUUCCUUUCAAUAAUGAGGUAACAAUGUUGAUGCUAAAUUAUAGCUCUUCACAGCUGAUGGCUUCUGGUGCAGUGGGAGUGGA